rnacentral:rRNA from 1 species
GACAGAGGUGCCGAGCGUUAGGCGGAAUCACUGGGCUUAAAGCGUGUGUAGGUGGAUGCCUAAGUACCUUGUGAAAUCCCACGGCUUAACCGUGGAACUGCUCGGUAUACUGGGUGUCUUGAGCCAGCUAGGGGCUACCGGAACAAAUGGUGGAGCGGUGAAAUGCGUAGAUAUCAUUUGGAACGCCAAUGGUGAAAACAGGUAGCUGGGGCUGUGCUGACACUGAGACACGAAAGCCAGGGGAGCGAACGGG